GUGAAUCCGACGACUAUAGGUAUAUUCUGUAUCGUACGAAAAUUUUGAUUGCAAGGAGAAACAUGUUAAAAAUAGAGUGACGGAGAGAGAGAGAGAGAGAGAGAGAGAGAGAGACGCAUUCAUAAGAGGGAUGUAUCUGCGACUUGAGAUUAAAACCAAGAUCGGCGUGCACAGCUCGGAGAUGCAAGGACGAAUAUCAUGCAUUCAUAUGUAGAUAUCUUCCUGCCUAUUUCUCUAGCAGUCUAUAGGAUGACAUUUUCGGAAGAGGCAAAAAUUUCCAUCAAUUACAUUUCAAAAAAUCUAAAUCAAACUGAAUGGAGGAGGGAAAUGAAAGUGGAGGUAAAAUGAUGGAUCCAAGAAAUGGAAAUAUCUUGUUAUUUGCGAAAGAAGAAGAAUCCCAAUAAUCUUACGCGUCUAUAUAUGCUUUCUCAUUUUAUUGCAACGCGCGCUGGAAUAAGUUUAAUCAAAUUGGCCGACCACGCAAAGUCAACGCGUCAAGAUAAAGGUAAGCGAGAACUAUGGUCACCUUCGAGACACGCUGUGCGCCUUGGAGACACGACACGUGAAAUAUUGAUUUCAAGCUGCAUACAUUAGUAGUGCCGCGAGGAGAAACGGCGUGAUCUAGAGAAACACCGAAGUCACCCGCAAGUGAAAUGGCCAGUUCGUUCACGCAUCGUAAGCUCGCGGGGCUCGCGGGGCGAUGUAUUUUCGGUGUAUCUCGCGGUUACGAUGUAACGCGCGAUAGCGAUAGACAAUUACCCCGUUACCUUUUAGGAAGAACAACUUUCGCCUGUGGUAAACAUUUAACAAAAAGCCUUUCUGGGGGAUCCCUGUUGAGUUUCGCAAAAAACGGCAGGCAUUCAUGAUCGACAGCUCGUAAACUCCGGAAAGACGAGGUAUGGUGCCCAUAGAGUGCGACGAAGACCAAGACCGAGGUCCGGUCGGCCUCGUGUUUGCGGGAUCAAAGAGCGUUACGUGUGUGUGUGCACGUGCAGGGAAAAAGAGAGAAGAGUCGAUCCGACUAACGGUAUAGAUGCACUAUUGCGAGUGACGACGGCGGCCUUCCGCUUUCUCAGGCACUCCCAUGCAGCAAGAGAGGCCACGUGCGCUCGUUCGUUGCGCCGAUCCGUAAACAGAUAUACGUAUGUACAUACAUUCGCGAAUCACGAUCGCCGACCGAUGGAGAGGCCCCAACGAUGGAUUCGACUCUCGCACCGAAUUUCUCGCCGAGAUAUAGUUACCGCGGAUGAUUCGCGUGUAAUCGAUAGGUGCCCCAGCGGCUCUUCGCGCAACAACGAUCUCGCAACUCGUAAUCAGAAACGAAUCUUAAUCAGAAACGAAAUAUUAUAGGAGAUUCGCGAAUGCGUAAUUUGCAGCCAAGCGUGAUGGCGUUUCAGGAUUGCACGAUUAUCGCUGCGCACGGAAUUAUUUUAUUCUGCAUUGGCAGACGGCUCGAAAAUAUCGCCGUAUCUCUCGUCUGAUGCAUGCUUUCUUAUGUAUUUCAUGUGCUCCAGGCCACACUUGUUUAAUUAGCAAUUUCGAAUUUGCACCUUUCUUACAAAAAAAAAAGGACGGGCUAUCGAUCAGCUGACUGUGAGAACUUUGGCGAAUGACAGACGGGAGAGAACACAAAAAUAAAUAUAAUAAAUCGCAUACACAUAUAAAUAAACUUUAACCGUAAAAAAAUAUAUGCGCCAAAUAAAACAUCUUUUAAUUAAUUUUCAGGUGGAGUUCGGCUUUAACGGAAUUUCGAUUUGAGUGAAAUAUUUAUGCUGCUGCAGGCUGACAUUGCCCGAACGAUCCGAGACGUGGUGCUACGGGCUCUCUAGAACCUCAGAAGCCAACGAUCGAAGUUAAAUUAAAGGAUUCGCGAGCGACGGAUAUUAUCGACGCGCAGGCAUGGCUAGGGUCUCGAGUGUACGCGUGCAUUAUGCUUCGUGUUCUGCCGCGUAUUGCGAGCUCGCUUCUCGUAGUAAGUAGCUCGCGCUCUUUCCAUUCAUAAUAAUCAGAAUUUUAUCAGGAAUCUGCGACCGCUUAAUCACACUGUACUCGACGAUUAUUUAUCUUGCAGUCGACGGUAAUAUUCCUUUUAUGAAGAUACGAAAGAUACAUGCUAAUGAAUUUUUAUUUUCAGUAAAUCUCAUGCACAGAUUGCAGUUUUCGUAAUAACUUGUCUCGUAAUAUAUCUUGCAACUUGACUGUAAUAUUGUAUAUAUAUACA